rnacentral:rRNA from 1 species
GAUGAACGCUGGCGGCGUGCCUAAUACAUGCAAGUCGAGCGAACAGACGAGGAGCUUGCUCCUCUGACGUUAGCGGCGGACGGGUGAGUAACACGUGGAUAACCUACCUAUAAGACUGGGAUAACUUCGGGAAACCGGAGCUAAUACCGGAUAAUAUAUUGAACCGCAUGGUUCAAUAGUGAAAGACGGUUUUGCUGUCCCUUAUAUAUGGAUCCGCGCCGCAUUAGCUAGUUGGUAAGGUAACGGCUUACCAAGGCAACGAUGCGUAGCCGACCUGAGAGGGUGAUCGGCCACACUGGAACUGAGACACGGUCCAGACUCCUACGGGAGGCAGCAGUAGGGAAUCUUCCGCAAUGGGCGAAAGCCUGACGGAGCAACGCCGCGUGAGUGAUGAAGGUCUUCGGAUCGUAAAACUCUGUUAUUAGGGAAGAACAAAUGUGUAAGUAACUAUGCACGUCUUGACGGUACCUAAUCAGAAAGCCACGGCUAACUACGUG